rnacentral:snoRNA from 1 species
CAACUUACAUAAAUCACCCGUCUGGAAUACCAAGCGAAUUCGACAAUACUGCUCUAUUCGAAAGACCGCACAAAUGGCUAGACGCAUACUAAACAAUUAAGCCCUCGCUAUUUAAAUCCAGGCCUGUGCUUUGUGCUUUAAGCGCUCCACAGGGCUGGUUCGCUCGGUGGCUACAUUU